UCAGGAUAUUUUGUAGUGCUUUGUUAAAUGGUAGGAUGUGCAUCGACAUUCAUGACUCGACUUAGAACAAUAUACUAUUGCUUAAGUAUUUUCCUAAUAUGAAGGUUCUAAAAUUGUGGUAUGAUGAGCUAGCAGGACGUAAGGAGCCAACUCGGACAAAACCUGAUAACAGAAGCAGGAAUUUCAUUAUCCUUUUCCUUUGUAUGGGUGGAAACCUAAAAGAGAAAAAUAAGCACAUAAUACUAUGGCUUACCACAGGAGGAACCAUUGGAGCAUUCUCAGCGGUAGCAGAAAGUUCCCCAUUUAGGGCACCAAUAACAACCUCAGCUAUUUCAAUUGUAACUCCUUCCUAUUAAAACAAGAUUUCAAACACACAAUUCAAGGGACAGGACAACGUAUAAUAAAAAUCAAAUAAUAGGACAAGGAGGUACAAAUGAUUUAAAUGUGGAUGAUUAUGCUUCUUUUGUGCUAACUCUAAGAUGAGGUAUAACAGUGACAUUUGGUAUGAUGAGGUAGAGCUCUUCAUCUUUUUCAGUAAUUCUGAGUACAAAUUACAAGCGGAGCUUGAUUGCGAAGAGAGCUCAAUCAAGUGUUCAAUGUACUCGAUAAAUUGGUCUCUUCUGACUCUCAACUGUUUGCCAAGAUGGAGAAUGAAGUAAGAAUUGCGUGAUGUGUGAGAUUUUCACCUAACCCUCCUUGGCAAA